rnacentral:rRNA from 1 species
GUGAACGCUGGCGGUAGGCCUAACACAUGCAAGUCGAACGGCAGCACAGUAAGAGCUUGCUCUUACGGGUGGCGAGUGGCGGACGGGUGAGGAAUACAUCGGAAUCUACUUUUUCGUGGGGGAUAACGUAGGGAAACUUACGCUAAUACCGCAUACGACCUACGGGUGAAAGCAGGGGAUCUUCGGACCUUGCGCGAUUGAAUGAGCCGAUGUCGGAUUAGCUAGUUGGCGGGGUAAAGGCCCACCAAGGCGACGAUCCGCAGCUGGUCUGAGAGGAUGAUCAGCCACACUGGAACUGAGACACGGUCCAGACUCCUACGGGAGGCAGCAGUGGGGAAUAUUGGACAAAGGGCGCAAGCCUGAUCCAGCCAUACCGCGUGGGUGAAGAAGGCCUUCGGGUUGUAAAGCCCUUUUGUUGGGAAAGAAAAGCAGCAGGUUAAUACCCCGCUGUUCUGACGGUACCCAAAGAAUAAGCACCGGCUAACUUCGUG